rnacentral:rRNA from 1 species
AGUAACACGUGGGUAACCUGCCCAUAAGACUGGGAUAACUCCGGGAAACCGGGGCUAAUACCGGAUAACAUUUUGAACCGCAUGGUUCGAAAUUGAAAGGCGGCUUCGGCUGUCACUUAUGGAUGGACCCGCGUCGCAUUAGCUAGUUGGUGAGGUAACGGCUCACCAAGGCAACGAUGCGUAGCCGACCUGAGAGGGUGAUCGGCCACACUGGGACUGAGACACGGCCCAGACUCCUACGGGAGGCAGCAGUAGGGAAUCUUCCGCAAUGGACGAAAGUCUGACGGAGCAACGCCGCGUGAGUGAUGAAGGCUUUCGGGUCGUAAAACUCUGUUGUUAGGGAAGAACAAGUGCUAGUUGAAUAAGCUGGCACCUUGACGGUACCUAACCAGAAAGCCACGGCUAACUACGUGCCAGCAGCCGCGGUAAUACGUAGGUGGCAAGCGUUAUCCGGAAUUAUUGGGCGUAAAGCGCGCGCAGGUGGUUUCUUAAGUCUGAUGUGAAAGCCCACGGCUCAACCGUGGAGGGUCAUUGGAAACUGGGGAGACUUGAGUGCAGAAGAGGAAAGUGGAAUUCCAUGUGUAGCGGUGAAAUGCGUAGAGAUAUGGAGGAACACCAGUGGCGAAGGCGACUUUUCUGGUCUGUAACUGACA